GUCUACGGCCGGCCAUACCACCCUGAACACGCCCGAUCUCAUCUGAUCUCGGAAGCUAAGCAGCGUUGGGCCUGGUUAGUACUUGGGUGGGAGACUGCCUGGGAAUACCGGGUGCUGUAGGCA
rnacentral:rRNA from 1 species